rnacentral:tRNA from 1 species
GCUGAGGUAGUCUAGCGGAAAGGCGCAGGCCUGGAAAGCCUGUGGGGCGUUUUGCCCCUCGGGGGUUCAAUUCCCCUCCUCAGCG